CAAAACAAAUUCGUAAUCCACUUCUCAUAAAAAAAUGCUUCAAUGUAAAUAAAUAAUAUACGCAUGACAGAUAAAAUAAUAAAUGAAUAAAAAAAACGGAACAGUUUGGCUGGUGUGGACCGCCGCACGCAUCGGAUCGCCCCCGCGAUCUCUUCUCUGGGUGCUGUGCCUGCUUCCUGUUAGCUGUGUCUCCUUGACCCUCGGGCUGCCGAUCUCCUCCCUGAAGCACACCUUUGUGCCAGGCUGUCUGUGUCACUUCCUGUCUCUCCCACCUGGUCUAACAAUCCGGUUAUUGAUGGCAGCCAGCUGCUCUGAACCGGUUUGUCUGGCUAUGGGACGGCGUCCUGAAUGCCUCAGCCUCUCAGAGUGUUUGCCCACAUCUGCAGCUUCUGUUUAUACAAGACUGGCACAAAUGUCCUGCCAGGCACCUCUGCCUGCUCCCUUCAGCGGUAAACAUGGAGACGUAGUCAGCCGCUAUUGGUUUGCUGUUUACCAGGACAGGCUAUCACUGUCUCCAUUUAAAACGGUUCACCUUAAUUAUAUGGCUUCAUAUGACUUGUUUUCCCUCCAUCCAAGCCUGAAUAUCUCCCUCUCUCUCUCUCUCUCUCUCUCUCUCUCUCUCCCAGUCUGUACUGCUUGCCUCUUACCCAGGCACUAAACUUCCUGUGAAAGGCAGGGGGAUGGAAUAGACACAUGUGUCUGGAUGUGUGAGGGGCUGCAGCUACUGGGUAGUGCUGGUAUGGAGAGCCGAAGCAGGGAGGAGACAGCCUUAGUCACGCAGAGUGAGGGAAGGGCUUACUGACUAACAAUCACUGAGUGUGUGGUAGAGAUGUGCUUCCUUCCUGAAAAUAAAAGAAGCACUUCUCCUCUCUUCUAUGGCUCCUCGCUGACACACAUUUUCUCAAGGGUAGGGUACUGUAAUGUUCGAUAACUUCAUAUAUCGAAGGCAUUGGCACAUGACGCCUUGGAUGCGUAGCUAUGAGUCGGCAUCAACCAAAAGGUGCUGGCCCACAACACCUCUCUCUAGCUACUGUUAUCUUUAAAUCAGAAAUCUGCUCCAUGCUGGUUAAGCCCGGUUCCUCCGACUGCAACCUGGGGGCAAAACGGCGCACUGUGCCUUUAAACAAAGAAUGCGAGCGAUGCACCACAGUGUCUAGGCGACGGGUGCUGGGGCCUGCUGGAAUGUUGGCAGCUAUUCGAUUUCCUGCAGUCCUGUCCCAGGUGUUAAAGCUCCGGGAAAACAAACAGAGAGAGAGAGGGAGAGAGAGAGAACGAAAAGCGACAGAGAAGAGGAGACAGACAAACAGGGAACGCCGGAGAUAGAGACGAUUUCGGCGAAAAUCCCAGACGUGAGGUCAUUUCCUGGUGCACCGAAAACCUGAAAUGACCGACCACUGGGCCAGUGAAAGAGGAAAACGUAACAAUCUCUGCCCUGCUCUUUUUAUUCCGAGGUUUUUCAUUGCAGACCACUGACAGUCUCACCCUACAGUAACUAAACGCCUGUAACCCAGCUGGAAGGCAGGAGAUUACGGAAACCCCCCCCCCACCUGUAAAGUCUAGUCAAGGUUGCUCCCGUCCCCCCUGCACAAAUCCUGACAGGGCUGCUUGUAAAGGGUGUCAUUCAAUAACAUCUACUUCAAUAACGUCGCCUUUGGUCCACCACCUUCAUCUGGCACUGAGGUUAUUUCCUGACACCCUGAGUAAGUAAAGGCUUUCAUUUCACGGAACUAAAGUGCUGACCUAUGUGGGAGGGUGGGCUACGGAUGGACUUUGCCAAAGGCAGCGGCUGUGAACGAGCGGGAUAUUUCACAACGACGGAGGAGGAAACCCAGAACGGUUGCUCAAGCAUGCCCGAUCCUACAGGCCUAGAGGGAAAAGGAUCGACUUAAAGAACCGCGGCCCACAGUGAGUUCAGGAAGCCGGGCCAGGCGGCCCGCAGGCCACAGAGGGUGUGUGUCCAGUUACGCAAAAAAGGGCCCAACGGCUGAACUUCCCUGCCCAAGUCAGAGGAGCUGGGAGGAAGACGGAGAGAAAACAGAUACUGUCAACAAACCGGUUAAUUCCUGGUCCUGCACGACACGGGACGAGCGGAGACUUUCCAGCAGCCCCCUUUCAUCCCCCACGGUUCGGGGCACACUGUGAUUUCCCUGGUAACCUUGCAUGCGAAAAGGUGAGUAAUUACAGCCUCGGCACACGGUCGGGGACAGAUCUGCCCGGUGACAAGAGCCAACAGGGGCUUAUGUUUGGUGCAAAUCUCCUAAAAUAUGUGACUUGAACCCAAGAUAAUUACAGCACUGAGGCUAGGCCACAGGCUUUUGCUGGAGGUGCACGUGGUGUGGUCCUCCACCCUGCAUUGCCCGCUGGUGUUUACUGUAAAUCAUGGUGUAAUAAUUGGCAGCUUUAUGGUAUUACCUUGGCAAAACCACCAUGCAACCGCAGGGGGAAUUAAGGGCAAUAAUGAACCUGGACUUAAAAAUAACUUGAACGUUUUCACGUUGCGUGAAUCCCGAGCCCUGCCGCCUUUGUUGUGCUGUCAGUGUGGAAUGAAGCACAUGCUGUCCCCAGCAUCCCCGCCCAGGACCGCGCCACAUCUGAGUCUGCCCCGGGGGCCGCCUCAUCCCCAGGCAGAGGAGAGAGACUCGGGCAAAAUGACGGCGGCCAGCCUACACGCUCUCAGAGAUCAGUGUACACACGCCAAGCAAGCUGAUAUUUCAACAUCAACUACUACACUUCUGUAUAAUUAACUCUACCCAAUUUGGGUCUCUUCUGGUUUGGUCCAUUGCUAUGCUGGCAAGUGACCUUUGACCUCCCUCCCACCCCGCCUCCCCCACCCUCAUCUUAGGAGGGAGAGCAGCUGGCAGAGGAACCAGUGCUGGAAAGUCCGAAACGUAAAUGUCAGUGAAAAACAGGUAGGUUGCAGAAAGACCCUAUGAGGAUAUCUACUGAACAGGACAGUGUUUCCUGUUCGGUUUAUAUAAGAUGCAUUUAUAGAAAUAAUAAUUAAUACAUCUGAAGAAGCAGCACAACGGCAAUAUAACUAAAUGUUCAUACAGCCCUUCUUUGUUUGUCUAAAGGAAUAAACACACAAUAGCUGGGACAGAAUCAUUAUUUAGGAACAACAGUGAUCUCACCUAUACCGGUUAUUCUAAUGAAAUUCUUGUGAGAUUAAAACAAAGAAUUGGAAAAAGGCAGUAAAUGGUAUCCAAACAGGUAAUUCAGGUCAGAAUAAGACUGGUAAUACUGGAAGGGAAUGAGAGCCGAGCGCCAGCCUCGCAUUGUUCUCCUCUGGCAGCGGACGGAGAGGUUAACUGUUCGUCAUGAGCGGCGGACUGAAGGCAGGCACCCCGUUUGAACGUUUUGUCUCUGAGGGACGAGGCUGUGAACUGCAGGCACCACAAACAGCCUGAGAGCCCCCCCUCCCCCCUCCCCGCUAAAGGUCUCUCAGCGCUACAAGGCUCCUUCGCAGUUGACUUGCAGUCAUGUCCGACGGCCUUUGAUUAGGACAGCGUUCAUUAAAGCGAUUAUGCACUAACGUUCCGUCCUUUCCCAAAGGCUGUUGAAUAUGGAGGGGGGGGGGGUCCUUCUGCCUGAGUUAAAAUCCCAGCUCCCACAUUUGCAUCUGACUAACCAUGUUCCACCGUCACACGCACCACCGUGCGGCCUGCGGGACGAAACCUUGCCUUUUGCUGGACGCUUUGUUGACUCACUGCACCUACAGGCAUCUUCAGAUUCACUGGGCCGCUAACGUCUUAAGGACCUUGCUGUGGAAAGAAACUUGAGGCUGUUUGCGCUGGGAUCAACCAUGGCCAUCGUCAGCUGUUCGCCAGCAUUGCGGCCCAAGCGUCUUCAGUGGCGAGGGGGCAGGAAGCCUGUGAGGAUCAGUGUAUCCUUCUAAGGUGCUGUUUUGCAUGUCACACGUCAGCAUCGACUUAAUACAGCUCUCUAUAGCUGCAGCUAUGGUAACUGUGAGGUCAUUUAUGCAUUAACCUGUUGAACAUCCACGGUUACCAUAUCUAUGUGCAUAUAUAGACAGAACUGCGACAGCUUGAUAUCGAAGGUAACAUAAGGACAUGAAGGUACAAGACAAUGGACACAACCAUGAUCUUGUCAUUUUGGAAACGAACAACUUUUCACCGCCACAAUCCGUAAAGACCCCACCGAGAUACUUACAAUGGUUAGGUGUCGGUUUGGUAUAUUUGCCAGUGGAUAUUACGUCAAACAACCAAAUAAGUAAAUGGAUACAUGUGCACUUCAUUUCUGCACCUAUAUGUCGAGAAAGACAUGCACGUUUAACAUAAAGCUUCUCUCAAAAAAAAUCACUCUAUAUAUUUGUGCCACAGCAUUAAUAAUAUGCUCACUACAGCAACUGUGCUGCUUAGAGACCUCUCCAGUACUGGACAAGCAUAUAUCAAGAGUUCAAGCAAAGUCUGUCAAGUGCCCCAGUAACAAAACAUACUGCAGUUUAUCUCCCAAUUGGCAUUUUCCUUCAGGAACAGAGACCACCCCCUCCCUCCCCCCAAAGACUCAGCUCCACACAGAUUCACACCCUCGCGUUGCCCUUGGUUAAACGCCCAAAGCUGAACUUCGAUGUGCGCAGCGACGUGCUAAUAUUUAGCGUGUCCUUGUGUGACCAAAGGCUCAAUGCUCACCACCGUCCCUAAUCGUACCCUGGGCUGUUUCGCUUUUUGCCUUCUUUCUCCAUCCUCUUUUUUUCAUGCCUUUUUUCUGUGUUCCUUGCAACAACAUGCGGGCUGUCAUUCCCUAUGGCCCGCAAUCAAAGAGAUGACAUCACUGAAUGAAAUGAGCUGUAUCUGGCAUAGACAUUGUGAGGACCGAGACUCGCAGAAUUCGGUCUUUGGACUUUUCCAGGAAUUAGCAACCAGCAAAUGAAUCAGUCUUUCAUUUUAAAAGAUUGCGUGAGACAGUUAAAUGCAAAUCGCUGCGCUGUGAUCCAAGACAACACCUAUGACCGUGCAAAUAUUAGUGAAUUGCUCUUCACAGUAAAUCACAUGCAUCAGUGCAACUAACUGCAAGUGAUGCUAAAAUAAUGUUGCAUAAAUUCUUUCUUUUGAUAGUUAAUGUGUUUGAAGUUGCAGGUGUUUGUGUUUAUCAUACCAAAAAAGCAUUUCCAUAUUUUCACCUACAUCUCUCUGUCAGUAGUUGUUAACCAGGCUUUGUAACUGAGGUAGAUCUUUUUAAAAGCCUUUCCUGCAGAUUAGCAGACCUAACCAGUAUUGUGAGCCCGGUCAUUCUCAAAUUCUUGAUUGAAGGAUAAGCAUAAAAUGCAGUGAACAAUUACAUCUUUAUAAAUAUGUUGACUUCCUUCCUUAUUUGUUUGUUGGACAAUUUUCCUUAUGGGAAGAAAUCAGUGGUUGCUACCACGCAUCAUAGAGAACCCAGCUGGGGGACGUGCACCUCACGACAUAAACGAUUUCUAUAAUAUUUUCAAUUUACAGAGAUCGUCUGAGGAAAAUAUGGUGAACAUUUGAUACCGAAAAUACACCAAACCCAACCCUGUGGUGUACGUUACAAAUCGGACCCUAAACCGUCGACCAAAUCGGUAAAGGAUGCGGAAGUCAAGUGUCAGAUAAUUCGAUCACCUAUACAUGAAAGGUGCAGCACACAUGCCACCGAAGUCUCUCGUCUUUUAUAGAACCGGAAGGUUCCGUUUACUCCUUCAUUAUACAAACUGCAUGCUCAUACUUUCAGAAUGACUUUCAGUCGGCUCAUUAAUGUGGCAAAAUCAUCGGUUGUCGCGGUACACGGCUUUUAGACCCACGCCUUUUGAUCAAAGAACAUCCUCAUCAUUAUCGUGAUGUAUAAUUGACAGCAGUAAUUAUAUGUUGUGCUGUAAAUUACUUAUUUACCUGAAUAACUAGAAACGAUGGUAAGAUUGCGAGUGUAUUUCGAUUUUUUAUACUUAUUGGUGUUCAGUUUCUAAAUGCCUUGUAGCGUACCACCGAAACGAUCUCUCACUCUUUUCUAAGCAUUUACUUCAUUUCGCACGCAUGUGUCAGCCAGAUAUCUUUCAUGGAGUAGCAUUGGUCACGUCCGUAGCUUUCGAUGCAAACCAGGGGCGUUUCUAGGUAUUGAAAAGAUCAGGGGCUAAGUCAAGUUUACCUGGGGCUUGACUUAUUAUUUUAUUUUAUUUUAUUUUAUUUAUUUACUUAUUUAUUUGAAGGGAGUUUGGCAUCGGGGCUAAAAUACUCAGGGAUUUAUCCCCAAGUGAUCGGACAAACCCACACCAUUAGAUCUUUAAUUGAAAGAUUGCAGGUUCGAAUCCCCGACCAGCAAGACACCACUGAGGUACCUUAGCAAGGUGCCGCCCCAAGCACUGCUCCCCGGGCGCUGAAUUAGCUGUCCCCCUGCUAUGUCACAUAUGGGUUAAAUACAGAGGACACGUUUCGUUGUUGUGCGCUGUGUGCUGUGAUGUGUCAAUGACCACUGAUCACUAAAUUCUAUUUCUAAGCAUGUUUGCAGCUUAUAAACCACAGGAUAUUGCACAUUAAUCAAGACCUUCAAUUUUGCACACUCUGAUGCUAUCAAUUUUAUAAGCAUUUUCAUUUCACAGCAACGACAUAGUGUCGGAGUAAACCUGAACUCGGAUUUCUGUGAGAUACAUUAAUCUGUUUUAUAUACCGUGGAAAUGUUAAAAGUACAGGUUAACAUCCAUCGUUCAUAUAUGCUAACUUUUAUGUGUGCAUUUACUACAUUAAGAUUAUAUUGCUUACUGCACUGUAAACAGGUGUUAAGAAAUAAAUUCUUUUGCUUAUAUAUACAAAGCCUUAGUCAUUGCUGUGCCGUAUGGUUAAUCAGAUUCACUUUUGGCGCAUUGUGUGCGUUCUGUUAUGCGCGUUCUGUGCAUUUAUUCAGGGUGGAGGAAAGCACUCAUCGGGCAUCUGUCACAUGACGAAGGACUGAGUAUAAAAAGGACUCACAUAUUCCCACAUCCAGAUGCGAGUGGCAGCUGUGACGGUGGAGCAUUUAAAUGCCAUCGACUAUCGAACAUCUGGACAGUUAUUUUUAAGUGGCACACUAAGAGAACGUUGUGCUUCUUCAGGAUGUUGUGAUGCUUAACAGAGAUAUACAACCAACAAGACUAUAUAAGUGUAGAACACUGAUCAGAUAGCUAACUCUUUAGCUAUUGAAAAGAUCAGGGGUUAAGUGAAGUGUACUUGGGGCUUGAUUUUUUAUUUUUUUUUGAAGGAAGAUCAGCAUUGCGGCUAAAAUACUCGGGGCUCUGCCUAAAAUACUCUGUCUACGGCCUCGAGUGAUCUACCUAACGAGGCCUAUGGUCAAUACUGAACCCCCCGCCCCCUAGGGGUUCAAGGUCUUGCGGGUUGCCCUACUUUAGGAAGCUCAGGGUGUGUGAUAACAUAAACACAGAAGACAUGCCCCCUCCGCCCGCCCAUUUAAUUCCACUUCUCCAGUUUAUGGUUAAACCCUCGCCCAGCAACACACACAUUGCCAUGGUGAACUGGACAUGUGACCUUAUCUUCAGCCAGAAUCCCCUGCCUUCACAGUCAGCAUGUAGCAGCACCAACACAGAGCCUUACAGCGCACUCCUGACCGAGCUCUGUUGAAGCCAUUUUUUAACACUUUCUAGAUGGUUCAUGGACUUUAAUGUAGUUUUACCUAAAAGUGUUUUUAAUUCUCAGGGUCAAUGCAUAUUCAUUUUAUACACAAUUACUGUGGAUGGGGAAUCCCCAAAUAUGUCAUUAUGCCACUGUAUCAGGGAACUAACAAAAGAAUACUUGGAAACCUCACUCCUCAAUCAGAUUUAUCAGUAGGGUCCUUCUCUGGUCCUGCACUCUGGUUAUAGGUCAUGCCCUUCUCUUGCUUCCAGGUUAUGAGGUAAGCGGUAAGCCUAUAGACAUUUCAGCAUUCACUAACGAGCAUAAAGGUUUUCACAGUUUUGUGAUGCGAUAUUUGUAGGUGUGUAUAUAUUUUGAUUAAAUCAUGCAUCCAAGUGCAUAAGCCAAGGGAAUUUUGUUUAUGUAGCAAAACAGGUGUUGUUUGUUGCCGGUCUAUAGUGUGUUUUUUUCACCUAGAAGAGAGUUGAUAUCAACGUCUCAGAACUUGAUGCGGUAUAGCGCAAUAUCUAACCGUAGGAAUACAUUCCACCUGUUAGCUAUGUGUGAUGAAUUUCCCCCCUCCCAGGUGUCACUUCCUAAUAAGGAUAAGGAAAUCUAACCCGGCAGCCCAGGUGACUUUAUGAGAGUUGAAACAAAUUUUAUUUGACAUGCCUACACACGAUAUUAUCGGCGCGUCGCUUGCGGCAUAAACCAUGCCCCCCCCCCCCCCAUUCCAGCCCCUUCCAGCCGCCUGUUUCUCCACCACCCACUUCCACACGAAGGCGUGAUGCUGGAAACCGGCCGAGAUGGGAUAGGCUUCCCGGUUUCCUCGGAGGAAGUGACGCGUCGGCCUGCCCAUAUAUGGGCUGCAAUUCGGCCUGCAUGUGAGUCAGUUCCCUUUACUAAAGGAAUACAGUUAUAAUGAAUAAAAGUUUGAAUCGAUUAUUUUAAUGUAAGUA